GAUGAACGCUGGCGGCGUGCCUAAUACAUGCAAGUCGAGCGAACGGACGCGACGCUUGCUUCUCUGAUGUUAGCGGCGGACGUGUGAGUCACACGUGGAUAACCUACCUAUAAGACUGGGAUCACUUCGGGAAACCGUAGCUAAUACCGGAUAAUCUUUUGAACCGCAUUGUUCAAAAGUGAAAGACGGUCUUGCUGUCACUUAUAGAUGGAUCCGCGCUUCAUUAGCUAGUUGUUAAGGUAACGGCUUACCAAGGCAACGAUGCAUAGCCGACGUGAGAGGGUGAUAGGCCACACUGGAACUUAGACACGGUCCAGAGGCCUACGGGAGGCAGCAGUAGGGAAUCGGCCGCAAUGGGCGAAAGCCUGACGGAGCAACGCCGAGUGAGUGAUGAAGGUCUUCGGAUCGUAAAACUCUGUUAUUAGGGAAGAACAGAUGUGUAAGUAACUGUGCACAGAGUGACGGUAACUAAUCAGAAAGCAACGGCUAACUACGUG
rnacentral:rRNA from 1 species